rnacentral:tRNA from 2 species
GCACUGUUAGCUCAGAUGGACAGAGCGUUGUCCUCCGGAGGCAAAGGCCACUGGUUCAACUCCAGUACAGUGCACCA